GUUGAGCGUUGACUCCGUCGAUGUUUGUUUCUAGAAGUUAGAUCUGUGUCAAAUCGUGUUGUUUUAUUCUUAAUCUUCCAAUAAUCAAAUAGUUUUUAGUCUAGCAAAUAGUUUUCCUUCAUAUCAUAUGUCAUAGGCUACUGCUUUCAGCCGAACAUUGUUACCGAAAUUCAAAUGUUUUCCACAUGAGGCCUGUUGAGAGAGUUAUGACGAAUAAAUAGAUACAUGUUCACAAAACACCACAGUGAAGGCCACACAAGACAUGUUAUUGAGCAGUCAGGGUCCUGGAUCUCAUGUUGGUCAACACAGCACAGUACCAACAUUGUGUAUCAGACACAAGUCUCCGUCUCCGGCUGGCAUCACUGUGGAUAUUGUGGUUUCCAUCCGGCUGGCGCGGUAGAUGCUGGCCUGAGUCUGUAGAUAGCGGGUGGAUUUGAGCUCCAGACCUUCAUACGUGCCUUGAGGAACACAUGGACACCAGGAGAACGCCUGCUGAAAUCCAGCUCGAAAUCUGCAAGAUACAACAGUCACUGAAUGGACAGUAGAUGAUGGGAUUGUACAUGGUGGAGCUCAUGGCGAGCCACAUGAUUCCUAAGUACACCUGCUGGAUGUAGCGCUCCUCAAACAGGUUGGGAAAGAACUGAUGCAGCAGAAAAUAGACGUGAUACGGCAGCCAGCAGACGGCAAAGGUGCACACGACCACAAUCAUCAUCUUCACCACCUACAGAAGAUAAAUGAGCUGCUCUCGAUAGCGAUCCGAAGAGUCUCCAGGAAUCUCACCGGCCCAGAGAGUGCAUCCCACCACCAGAUACGCACAGCCCAUGACCAGCAACGAUGAACUAACAAGGCCAGUUCUUUGAUGACAUCAUCCUCCAGGAUGCAAAGUGACAUCAUACACGGUGCAGCUCUGUGGACGGGUCCUGAUGAGAGGAUGCUGAGCGGACAGAUAAAAGAUGCUCGGCUCGAUGUGCCAGCUAGAUUAAACAACAGACUCUCUAUCAUCCGGUGGCUUGCUGACAAAUAACGAGACGCCAUAGAAAUCCAUUCGUCAGUAAACACGAUGUUGUGAAUCUGCUUCCGGCUUAACUUCACCUCUAAUCCCUGAUUAUUACAUCUCAAGUUUGAGAAUCUGGUGAAGAUGUUUCUCUGAAGAGUCGUGUUAUCUCAUCCACAAGGACAUCGCAGGCUUACAGGGUUUUAUUUAUUGAGAUUCAUCAAAGCAA